AGAGGAGCAGAUGCUGGCAGCUAGAGGUGAGGUGCUUUUGGGAGAGGUUGCCAGCUGCAGGAAGGGAGGUCGUCUGGGCAGAGGAGUGGGGGAGAGGUUUUGCUUUUGGGAAGUCCGUUAGAGAUAUUUUUAGGAGGAUGCAGCUGCAUUGAAAGAGGGUUUUUUUGGAGAGAUUCUUGAGGAGCAAGCUGGAUAUUCAGAGACGGGAGAGAAAAACGAAAAAAAAAAAAUCAGAAGAGAGAGGUACCUGGGCUGCUGAAGUCUGAGGGAUUCCAGGGAGAGUUUUCGAUUAGAGUUGAGGGAGAGAAGAAGAAAAAGAAACAGAGGAAGUUUCUGGAGAGAAGAAGAAGAGUAUUGUGAGUAGUAGCAGAGGGAUUCCAGGGAGAGUUUUCCAUUAGAGAAGGAGUUGAGGGCUGUCAUUGAGAUAGCAGAGGAGGGGUUGUUGAUCGAAAGUAGAGGUUGGAGCUCGAGGGAAAGAGCAAACCAGAGGUUUGAACUUUCUUAGGCUGCAAGUUUGAGGAGAAGAAGUUUUCUUAAAGAGUUUGAGGAGAGCUCAGAGAGAAAACCAGGGGGAUUUUUCUGGUCAUUGAGGAGGAGGUUUUCUUGAGGAGAAAACGGGGAUAGUUUUGCUGGGGUUUUCUUGAGCUUGAGAGGCGAGAAAGCUUUGAGGAAGAAGAUGAAGUGGCGGAUGAACAACAUGGGUGAACUCCUAAACAGCUUUUGAGCUUGUUACAUCAAUCAAGACGAGCUUUUGGAAGAAUUAAACAGUCGAGAGUUUCCGCUGCAGCAUCACUUUCAGAAGGUGGUCACUGCAGUCCGAGAAAUCCAAGUGUAGUAGAAUACUUCCUCACCAAUCAUAUAUUUGUGCCCAAGAAUUCAUGGGAGGUCCUUAUUGACGAGGAUGCAUGGAGGGGCCAAAUAUUCGGUGCGGUCACGCCUGGGCAGUAUGGCUUGUGGUUGGAAUAAGCGUCCCCAACAUUACAUACACCAGAAUGUUGGGCGUAUGAAGCUGCCACGUUUCCUUUGUUGAAGCAGUGGAUCCAUCCAUCAUUCUCAUUACGGGUCCAUAGCAUCCAUUGCAAAAAUUUGCAGUGUUCAUGACAACAUUUUUUUUUUAAUUGUUAAAAACAUCUUCUACUUAGUACAUAUUACUUAGGACAUAAUAUACUGUAACUCAUACAAAACUAUAGAUGGAUCUAGAGUUACAGCAUGUUUUUGAAUUAAAAAAUGACAGCCUUUUAGGUAAAAAUGAUAAUCAGCCACGUGGGGUUUCUCUUUCUUGUUCUAUUAUUAUUAUUUGUGUGUGUGUGAGCGCGUUCGGCGGAAAGAGAAAUACGAACCACUAGUUAAGAGGGCCCCGGCUUAGUUAAAGUGUUCUCUCAAUUUUUGGCUGAAACGGACACCAGGGAAGCAGAAUCAAAUUGAGACACAAUUGCAGUGAAGAAGAUGCUUAAUUACUGGAGCUAGUGAUCCCAUUUGCCACACACUACAUGGAUCAAGACUUUAUCAUCAUAAAAUGCUCUCCAAUGAUGAUACUUUUUUCCGGGUUAUGUUUGCUGGGGACCCACCGAAACGGAAGGCACAAUAGACCAGUGACCUUGAUUGAUAUAUUCUCGUACACCAGAAUUUAGAUUGAGCUUGUAGGAUCAGAAUCUGGGCGAAGAUUGUUACAUUUCAGAUUACUAGGAGAGAACUACUGAAUCUGAUGCACUUCUAUUUUAUCUCACUUGGGGAGUGGCCUGACUUGCCACAAAAUUAGUUCUCCCUCCUAAGGCUGUGCGAGGUUGUAUGGGAGAACCCCGCGACAAAAAAGGAAAAGAAGUAAUUAAUAGUGGAUAUUCACACGAA